CAGUCGCCGCGGUAAUACGGAGGGUGCAAGCGUUAAUCGGAAUUACUGGGCGUAAAGCGUGCGUAGGCGGUUCGUUAAGUCUGUUGUGAAAGCCCCGGGCUCAACCUGGGAAUGGCAAUGGAUACUGGCGAGCUAGAGUGUGUCAGAGGAUGGUGGAAUUCCCGGUGUAGCGGUGAAAUGCGUAGAGAUCAGGAGGAACAUCAGUGGCGAAGGCGGCCAUCUGGGACAACACUGACGCUGAGGCACGAAAGCGUGGGGAGCAAACAGGAUUAGAUACCCCCGUAGUCCCUGUCUCUUAUAC
rnacentral:rRNA from 1 species